rnacentral:rRNA from 1 species
UACGUAGGGUGCAAGCGUUGUCCGGAAUUAUUGGACGUAAAGAGCUCGUAGGCGGUUUGUCGCGUCGGCUGUGAAAACUCGGGGCUCAACCCCGAGCCUGCAGUCGAUACGGGCAGACUAGAGUGUGGUAGGGGAUACUGGAAUUCCUGGUGUAGCGGUGAAAUGCGUAGAUAUCAGGAGGAAUACCUAUGGCGAAAGCAGGUAUCUGGGCCAUCACUGACGCUGAGCUGCGAAAGCUAGGGGAGCAAACAGG